rnacentral:rRNA from 1 species
AGUGAACGCUGGCGGUAGGCCUAACACAUGCAAGUCGAACGGCAGCACAGUAAGAGCUUGCUCUUACGGGUGGCGAGUGGCGGACGGGUGAGGAAUACAUCGGAAUCUACUUUUUCGUGGGGGAUAACGUAGGGAAACUUACGCUAAUACCGCAUACGACCUACGGGUGAAAGCAGGGGAUCUUCGGACCUUGCGCGAUUGAAUGAGCCGAUGUCGGAUUAGCUAGUUGGCGGGGUAAAGGCCCACCAAGGCGACGAUCCGUAGCUGGUCUGAGAGGAUGAUCCGCCACACUGGAACUGAGACACGGUCCAGACUCCUACGGGAGGCAGCAGUGGGGAAUAUUGGACAAUGGGCGCAAGCCUGAUCCAGCCAUACCGAGUGGGUGAAGAAGGCCUUCGGGUUGUAAAGCCCUUUUGUUGGGAAAGAAAAGCAGCAGGUUAAUACCCCGCUGUUCUGACGGUACCCCAAGAAUAAGCACCGGCUAACUUCGUG